rnacentral:rRNA from 1 species
UUUCGUCAUGAAAGAAGUUUAAAAGGUACGGCGUAAAGCUGUCGCUAAAGGAUGGACCGUGCGAUGCAUUAGCUAGUUGGUAAGGUAACGGGCUUACCAAGGCGAUGAUGCAUAGCCCGAGUUGAGAGACUGAUCGGCCACAUUGGGGACUGAGACACGGGCCCAAACUCCUACGGGAGGCAGCAGUAGGGAAUCUUCCACAAUGGACGAAAGUCUGAUGGAGCAAACGCCGCGUGAGUGAAGAAGGUUUUCGGAUCGUAAAGCUCUGUUGUUGGUGAAGAAGGAUAGAGGUAGUAACUGGCCCUUUAUUUGACGGUAAUCAACCAGAAAGUCACGGGCUAACUACGUGCCAGCAGCCGCGGUAAAU